AGUGAACGCUGGCGGUAGGCCUAACACAUGCAAGUCGAACGAGUGGCGGACGGGUGUGGAAUACAUCGGAAUCUACUCUGUCGUGGGGUAUCACGUAGGGAAACUUACUCUAAUACCGCAUACUCUUGAAUGCGCCGCUGUCGGAUUCGCUAGUUGGCGGGGUAAAGGCACACCAAGGCGACGAUCCGUAGCUGGUCUGAGAGGAUGAUCAGCCACACUGGAACUGAGACACGGUCCAGACUCCUACGGGAGGCAGCAGUGGGGAAUAUUGGACAAUGGGCGCAAGCCUGAUCCAGCCAUGCCGCGUGGGUGAAGAAGGCCUUCGGGUUGUAAAGCACUUUUGUUGGGAAAGCGGUACCCAAAGAAUAAGCACCGGCUAACUUCGUGCCAGCCGCCGCGGUAAUAC
rnacentral:rRNA from 1 species